rnacentral:rRNA from 1 species
AGGGAAUCUUCCGCAAUGGGCGAAAGCCUGACGGAGCAACGCCGCGUGAGUGAUGAAGGUCUUCGGAUUGUAAAACUCUGUUAUUAGGGAAGAACAAAUGUGUAAGUAACUAUGCACGUCUUGACGGUACCUAAUCAGAAAGCCACGGCUAACUACGUGCCAGCAGCCGCGGUAAUACGUAGGUGGCAAGCGUUAUCCGGAAUUAUUGGGCGUAAAGCGCGCGUAGGCGGUUUUUUAAGUCUGAUGUGAAAGCCCACGGCUCAACCGUGGAGGGUCAUUGGAAACUGGAAAACUUGAGUGCAGAAGAGGAAAGUGGAAUUCCAUGUGUAGCGGUGAAAUGCGCAGAGAUAUGGAGGAACACCAGUGGCGAAGGCGACUUUCUGGUCUGUAACUGACGCUGAUGUGCGAAAGCGUGGGGAUCAAACAGGAUUAGAUACCCUGGUAGUCCACGCCGUAAACGAUGAGUGCUAAGUGUUAGGGGGUUUCCGCCCCUUAGUGCUGCAGCUAACGCAUUAAGCACUCCGCCUGGGGAGUACGACCGCAAGGUUG